UACGAAGGUGGCAAGCGUUGUUCGGGUUUACUGGGCGUACAGGGAGCGUAGGCGGUUGGGUAAGCCCUCCGUGAAAUCUCCGGGCCUAACCCGGAAAGUGCGGAGGGGACUGCUCGGCUAGAGGAUGGGAGAGGAGCGCGGAAUUCCCGGUGUAGCGGUGAAAUGCGUAGAGAUCGGGAGGAAGGCCGGUGGCGAAGGCGCCGCUCUGGAACAUUUCUGACGCUGAGGCUCGAAAGCGUGGGGAGCAAACAGG
rnacentral:rRNA from 1 species